rnacentral:lncRNA from 1 species
AUCAUUUUUCUCACACUCUCCUCUUUAUCUAUGAUGACAGCUAGACCUAUGCCGGCAGCAACAUCGAAGGCUAGACACUCAGUCGUAACAAAAAUAAGGUGUGUUGCACGUGUUGGGACGAAGGCGAGGAGAGAGAGAGAAAAAAAAGAUAAUUUUUUACAUAGACAAAUUAAUUUGUAAGAGCAAAAUAAUUAUUUUACGCGCUUACUGUUAAAAAAUUAAUGGUGAAUCAAAUAACAGAGACAUAUAUGAACGAAUCAAAAUUUUUGGAGAGAUAUAUUUACAACCCAAUUUUUUUUUGAAAGAAUAAAUCUGAUCAUUUAAAAUUUGUGAGAAUUUAUCUGUUAUUUGAUAUUUUUACGUGAACCUUUUUGAAAUUAACCUAACUUUUU